rnacentral:rRNA from 1 species
GGAGGAUCCGAGCGUUAUCCGGAUUUAUUGGGUUUAAAGGGUGCGUAGGCGGUUCGAUAAGUUGGAGGUGAAAUGUUAGGGCUUAACCCUGAAACUGCCUCCAAUACUGUUGGGCUAGAGAGUAGUUGCGGUAGGCGGAAUGUAUGGUGUAGCGGUGAAAUGCUUAGAGAUCAUACAGAACACCGAUUGCGAAGGCAGCUUACCAAACUAUAUCUGACGUUGAGGCACGAAAGCGUGGGGAGCAAACAGGAUUAGAUACCCUGGUAGUCCACGCAGUAAACGAUGAUAACUCGUUGUCGGCGAUACACAGUCGGUGACUAAGCGAAAGCGAUAAGUUAUCCACCUGGGGAGUACGUUCGCAAGAAUG